GGUCUCUUAGCUCAGUUGGUAGAGCAUUCGGUUGAAGCCCGAUGCGCGUAGGUUCGAUUCCUACAGAGACCAC
rnacentral:tRNA from 1 species